AUGAUUGCGAAUGGUUGCCUUCAGUGCUGGCUCUUGCAAGUGCACGUUGGUGGCUUUCAUCCAAUACCCCUGUGAACCUUUGGCCUCUUGCUAGCUUCGGCUGGUAGAGGAUUUUUACACACUCGAAUGUAACGAAAACUUGUCGUGCGCAAGCACUAAUGUA
rnacentral:misc_RNA from 1 species